AACGCGAAGAACCUUACCUGGACUUGACAUACAACUGACCGUGUUAGAGAUAACAUUUUCUCGCAAGAGACAGUUGAACAGGUGCUGCAUGGCUGUCGUCAGCUCGUGCCGUGAGGUGUUGGGUUAAGUCCCGCAACGAGCGCAACCCUUGUCGUUAGUUGCCAGCACGUAAUGGUGGGCACUCUAGCGAGACUGCCUGGGUUAACCAGGAGGAAGGUGAGGAUGACGUCAAGUCCGCAUGGCCUUUAUGUCCAGGGCUACACACGUGCUACAAUGGCCGGUACAGAAGGCAGCAAUACCGCGAGGUGGAGCAAAUCCCAAAAGCCGGCCCCAGUUCGGAUUGCAGUCUGCAACUCGACUGCAUGAAGUUGGAAUUGCUAGUAAUGGCGAGUCAGCAACAUUGCCGUGAAUACGUUCCCGGGCCUUGUACACACCGCACGA
rnacentral:rRNA from 1 species